GUGAAUCAUCGAAUUUUUGAACGCAAAUUGCACUCUCUUCGGAGGGUAUGCCUGUUUGAGGGUCAGCCUAAAAAAAAAUCGACAUAGUCGCUGUUUCGCGGUGACAUUCGUCGGAAAUUGGGUAAUCUUAAACCUUUGGGUUUUAAGCGGCUUAAAAUUUUCUUAACGAUUCCACAAAGGUUUUUAGGUUUUACUUUUUAUACUUU
rnacentral:misc_RNA from 1 species